ACGAAGGGGGCGAGCGUUGUUCGGAUUUACUGGGCGUAAAGGGCGCGUAGGCGGCGAUUUUUGUCAGGCGUGAAAGCCCUGGGCUUAACCUGGGAGGUGCGCUUGGGACGGGAUUGCUAGAGUUCGGGAGAGGAGAGUGGAAUUCCCAGUGUAGAGGUGAAAUUCGUAGAUAUUGGGAAGAACACCGGUGGCGAAGGCGGCUCUCUGGACCGAUACUGACGCUGAGGCGCGAAAGCGUGGGGAGCAGACAGGAUUAGAUACCCUGGUAGUCCACGCUGUAAACGAUGUGUGCUAGACGUUGGGGAGCCUAGCUCUUCGGUGUCGCAGCUAACGCGAUAAGCACACCGCCUGGGGAGUACGGCCGCAAGGUUA
rnacentral:rRNA from 1 species